AGCAGCCGCGGUAAUUCCAGCUCCAAUAGCGUAUAUUUAAGUUGUUGCAGUUAAAAGCUGUAGUUGAAUUUUCGGAUUGACGUGAUGGUCAUGCCUUUAAGGGGGUAUGAACUGUUACGUUGAUUUCUCACCUUUCUGGAGAAACUUGAUGUCCUUAUUUGGGGUGUCUAUUGGAUCAGGACCUUUACCUUGAAAAAUUAGAGUGUUUUAAAGCAGGCAUUUUUUGCUCGAAUACAUUAGCAUGGAAUAAU
rnacentral:rRNA from 1 species